rnacentral:rRNA from 1 species
GAUGAACGCUGGCGGCGUGCCUAAUACAUGCAAGUCGAGCGAACAGACGAGGAGCUUGCUCCUCUGACGUUAGCGGCGGACGGGUGAGUAACACGUGGAUAACCUACCUAUAAGACUGGGAUAACUUCGGGAAACCGGAGCUAAUACCGGAUAAUAUAUUGAACCGCAUGGUUCAAUAGUGAAAGACGGUUUUGCUGUCACUUAUAGAUGGAUCCGCGCCGCAUUAGCUAGUUAGUAAGGUAACGGCUUACCAAGGCAACGAUGCGUAGCCGACCUGAGAGGGUGAUCGGCCACACUGGAACUGAGACACGGUCCAGACUCCUACGGGAGGCAGCAGUAGGGAAUCUUCCGCAAUGGGCGAAAGCUUGACGGAGCAACGCCGCGUGAGUGAUGAAGGUCUUCGGAUCGUAAAACUCUGUUAUUAGGGAAGAACAAAUGUGUAAGUAACUAUGCACGUCUUGACGGUACCUAAUCAGAAAGCCACGGCUAACUACGUG